UACGUAGGGGGCUAGCGUUAUCCGGAUUUAUUGGGCGUAAAGAGCGUGUAGGCGGCCAGGUAGGUCUGCUGUGAAAACUCGAGGCUCAACCUCGAGACGUCGGCGGAAACCAUCUGGCUAGAGUCCGGAAGAGGAGAGUGGAAUUCCUGGUGUAGCGGUGGAAUGCGCAGAUAUCAGGAAGAACACCAACGGCGAAGGCAGCUCGCUGGGACGGUACUGACGCUGAGACGCGAAAGCGUGGGGAGCGAACAGG
rnacentral:rRNA from 1 species